GUGCUCACUUUGGCAGCACAUAUACUAAAAUUGGAAUGACACAUAGAAGACUAACAUGCCCCC
rnacentral:snRNA from 1 species